GGAAAUGUGAUCCUUAAACAAUCCUUGGUUUUUGGAGUCAUCAGGAGGCUUGAAUCUUCAAAGUUUUUCUAUUUUUUUCAAUUGUUUCUUUUUUCUUGCAAAUCUAAGUAAUAUGGUCUAUGUAUACACUGAAAUCAACAUCGACUGUGUGAAAAGGUCAUAUAAUCAGGGAAUAAUCAAUAUUUAUAAUGCUAUCAGAUACUUAUAUUCAUAAUAAUUUUGUAACGAUGCAUUGCUUUGUAUUUUCUUAAUGCAGUGUAGAAUAGUGGGUAUCAAAUGGGAUAUAUUGCUGAAAGGAACUGCUGCAGUGGGGUACCAAAGACCUAUUUUAGUCAGUGAUGGGGGUUUUUUUUGGUCUGCUUUUUUCAUAUAAGUGUCUCUGGAUUUUGUGUUUUAGCUCUAAUAAUUGUGAAGUGCUGAUACCUUGAGUACAAGUGUGAACCAGAGCUGCGUGCCCAGGGUUGUACCCUGAGUACAACACAGGGUGCAAAGAAGAACGUUCAAAAACCUCUACAUUCAGGCAAAAAUUAUUUCUUACCUAGCUGUAGUUGCACUUUGAAGUCAAGUCUGCUUAAAUGCAAAGGAACAAUUUUCUUUUCCUUGAGAAGAAAGAAACAGGUUUAAAAAUUUACAGAGUAAUUAGAUUUUCCAGUUCCCUUGACCUACAUUUAUUGCUGAGAUUAGAAACUGCAGUGCUCAAUAACUAUGUUGUGGCAAGUUUUAUGUGACUUUCUUUGCCACUCUUAGUUUAUUAUGGUUAAUAAAAAAGAAAUAUUUGCUUUGGAGGUACUUUUAGUCCUUUACUUAAUAUUUGAUCUGGAGAGGAAUGGAUACCUAAGAUUUUUUUGUCACCUCUUCAAAUAGCACAUCCAGUUAAUGACUUCAUAUUAGGGAAACUGGUGUCUUUAGUUAUUAUUCUAGGUUGUGAUCUGCUCUGACACAUUUAUAACAGUUUUUUUUUUGUUAUUCAACAGCUAAACCAGCACAAAAAUCCCAAAGUUCAGGAGAGAACAGCGUCUUAAGAAUUCAUCCUGCUAGUGCUGCAUAGCAUGGGCUUUUGGAACGGUAGGUCCUCAUUCAGCUGCUCUGUGGCCAGGUGAAAGGCUGCCUGUAUCUACAGCCUGGUCAUAAUUUCAGCAGAAGCUACAGUAACUGCAGUGUAGAGGUUGGAAAGGUUAGCCUGACAGCCAGACUGGUCAGCAGCUUUCCCAAACCUAGAAAAUAAUCUUGAACAUAUUUGAAUAGAAGAACAUCUGGUUUACGGAAAAUGUAAGGAUUAAUUGGGUUAGUUCUUAUUUAAGUUGAUUUACUUCAUCAAGAUACAAUAGGAGGGAGUAGUGAUUCUUCUGAGAUUUUAUCUAUUUGGCAGGAAAAAAAUUACUUUAGGUGAGCAAACGAGAACUGUGCCAAGCCAGCUUCCCUGCAGACUUAAAAUAUUAUCUUUUUAAUGAUUUAGCUGUUAUGAAAAUGCCAGCAUUAGUCUUAAAAUACUUUUAAGUGCCAAAAAUUAUGCAAAAGUCUUGCCAAUUCAUACAUGCACUCUCUUCUGGUAAACACUGAACAGGAAGAACUUUGAAAAAUGGAACACUUACAUCUUUCUAAAUCAUGCUGCUACAUAAAGAAGCUUUUAUGAAAUAAGUCUCUCAUUAUCUUUCCCCUUAGAGACAGAUUGUCACCUGACUGUUGUCAGCUGCACUUUGAAUACACAUACAUGCUCACUGUAGUAGGAGUUGCAUUCACCAUCCACAAGGCUCCCUAAUUUUCAGGUGAAUCUAGACCACUGCUACAGUUGCCAACAAUUUAUUUUUCCUUUGGUUUAUUGUUGAAAAACAGGUAUGAACUGUAUGCAAUUACGUUAUUACUGUCUGCCAGUCCAGCUUUAUAAUCUUGAGUUUUAUCAAAAAGUAUAGUUAGCACUGCUUUGAUGUCUGGAAAAAGUGACUCUGCCAGUAGAGAUAGGGAUUAGUAUCAAAUGCUUAUGAAUGGGGAUGAAUAAUAGUCUCCAUUUAAUUGGAAGGGGGAAUCAAUUAAAUGGACUUAUAUUCAUUUGAAUGUAGACAUCUGAGCAUGUUUAUUUUUUAUAUAUUUAGAGAACUGUCUAUAUUUUGUGGGUUUUUUUUUUGUAUUCAGUGAAUUCUGAUUGGUUCAGAUUUGCUUAAAAUUCAAACCUUAAUUUAGCAAAAUAGAAAAGGUACUACUUUACAUAACUGUUUAGCAUACAUUAUUGGGCUUCUGUGAUAAAGCUAUAUUGACAAUAUUCAACUUCAUUCAAAGUACCUGAAGAAGAUAUUUUUAAACUAAUACAAAAUUAUUUUAUCUUUAUCAUAGAGACAAUCUAAAAUCUGAAGGAUCUGUCCACAUUCUUUGGAAUAAAAAAAUGUAAUUUGUGGCAGAAACACUGGGGGCUUGGACCAAACUAUGUUUUACGAGGAAAUGUGCUAAGUGGAAGUUAUUUUGUGCACCUGUGAGUUGAAGAAAUACUUGAGAUAACUACUAAAGAUUGUAUCCAGAAAACUUUCCAGGAUCUGUGAGAUAGAAUCUGGACUUGAGAAAGAUCAUCAGAAUGGCUGGAUGGCUGGAGCAUUGAGACCCAGUAAGCUCCAAGUUAGGAAAAGCCAAGUAGGGAAGUUCUAGUUGUUACUCUGACAAGUGCUCUGAGUGAGUGCUUUUCUUUAUUGCACAAUCCACAUGUAUUAUUUAAAUAUUUAAAUUUAUUUAAAUUAUUUAAAUUGCUUAUUUUGAUAACUCGCUACUGAAACUUGUUCCUUUUUGUAAAUAUUUUUCCUCUCAUACAACUAAUGUGAGAGUAGUCUGCUAUUUGUGUGUAGGUAGUCUUGAGAAGCAUUCACCAUCAAUAUAAUUUUUCUUAAUAGUAAUUUCAAUCUCCCAAAUUUUAGGAAGAUAUAAAAAAAAAUGAACUUAUACAAAAAAUAUGGUUACACAGAAUAAAAUCGAUUUUCCCUCCUGCAGUUUCCCCAAAGUUAGUAUAUCAGACUUUAGUUACUACUUUAUAAUAACUACUGUUUGUUUCCAGUAAAAGCUGAGUAAAUGGUUACUGAACUUUGUCUUGAGAAACAAUAAAUGUGGACAAUUUCAAAUCAAAGACUGGGCGUGUUUGAUUCUGUAAUUCAACUUGUCAUUGAGCUAUGUGUUAACAGCUUCAUAUCUUUUUGUGUAAUGAGGUUCAGAUUUUACUAUUGUUUAGGUAGCAAAUGUUAAAAUAUUGAUGGCAGUGGUAUUUACUGUAAGUAUGCUGUAAAUUAAUACCUUUUCUAUUGUUGCUGCUUCUGAAGCUGAACCACAGUAAGUGUUCAUCUGUCCAUUGUUUUAUUAAAGUUCCUUAUUUCCUGAGUUUGGGAUGAAAUUCAGCUGUUUUGGAUUCCUCCAUAGAAUAAAAAUGUUUUCUAUUCUGGUAAUAAGUGUUUCUCAGGAAGAAUAGAAAAGUUUUGUUAUCAUUUUAGGAUUUCUCUAGUCUGCCUGUUGCUAGUACUGAUAGACAAUGCCUCUUCAGGUUAUAGCCUUGUUGGAAGUCUGCUUUUUAAAAAUAUUCUACCUUUGCUGAAUUGCUUCACUUAUUGUCCUAUUAAAUUAAACAACUACCUCAACAAAUUUCAUCCUUCCACCACUCUUGUGCAAGCUUUGUAAGUUUACUUCACUGACUAUAUUACAUAGAACUGUUCAUGUAAUCUUAGUUACCUUACAUUAUGACAUUGUAGCUCUAUUAUUAUCAUAAGAUUUCCUAAAAUACUCUUUUCAGCUUAAUCUCAAGGUUCCCUCACUUUUGUGACUGUGCAUAUGAGUUUUCAGGGAUGCUGAUGAGGUCAUCUCAUUCUCAACAGGUCCAGUGAAGUGUAGAGGGCUUAUAACAUUUUAGCAGUGUUAUGCACAUUUAGAAUUAAAAUUUGAUUUUUUAUAGCUUAAUUUUCCAUUUAACAUAAAUUUUAAUAUUACUUUUUCUUGAAUAAAGUAGUAAUAAAUUAAGAAAAUUUCUGAUUAAAUUAAAAAUGAUUCUUCUGAAUGAGUACUUAAUAUUUUCACUGCAGACAAAGGGUAGGUGAAAAAAAUAUAAGAUUUCUUAAAAGACAGUGUAUCUUCAUAAGUUACAUGUAUAUAAAUUAAAACUCUGGGAUAAGGUUUUAUGGUACACCUUAAUGCUAACUUUAGUAGUCAGUUUUAACAUUUCUCACAGGAUGGAAAGUGGUGAGCUUUCUUGUGAUUUUUAUAUUAUUUCCUGAACCUUACUUUUACUAUUUUUAAGAGGUUAGAUAAGCCAUAUUUUUAUAG